CUGUGGACUCAUUUCUUGCAAUACUGAGUGAUGUCAAUUGCUAUUUAUGUACCAUGUUUACUUGAAAUACAGAGGAUCUUGUUGCACAAGUUUGCAUUUGAAUUCACAGGAUACCUGCAGCCAGUAAUUGAAGUUAAAGGAGUAGAAGAUGAAUGAUCUCUCUAUGCAGUGUUAAAUGGAUUAACAUAAUGAGCUGCAUUGUUAAAACUAAUUCACUUCAUUUUACCUUUCCUGUCUGGCCACCGAGGCUUAUUAUGUAUCCAAACCUGACAAAAACACCUAACUUUAAAAAGUUUUCACAGUUCUGUAUGUGUGAGUUGUGGAAUUGGUUAAUCAAUCAAGCCAAGUCAUUAUUUAUCCCAGAAUUAAGACAUGAGGUGAGCUACAGGCUUUUAUGUAGAGAUUGCUGAGGAGAUAGGCAAACAUGGCAGACAUUGAAUUCUGGAGACAUCUUUCAGCUGCCUUAUCUCUCUUUUAGAUAAUGAUAUCCUGUGACAGUGUCUCAAUGGUGCAGAACAGAAUUAAACAAAUACAUACAUACACAUAGGAUGGAGGCCCGACACUGCUCUAUUUACAGCUAUAAACGUCACUGGAUUAUGUAAAUUUAUUAUUCACACAAAGUAAUCCAUGCACAUAUCAAAAUACUUUAAAAAAUAAAACACAUUACUGUGAGGUUUGUUGCUGCGGAUCAGGGUGUGCAUUGCAAAUCUUCCGAAUCAAAAGCAAAUACUGAAGUGAGAAAGGCUGAACUUGAUGGAUGCAUGUAUCUCUUCAGCCUAUGUAACUAUGUAACAUUAUUGGGGGUUUUAUUGCUGUGCAGCUCUGUGAUACACUCAUGCAUGCUGUGCAUUAUUGUGGGUUUUAUUGCUUCGGAGCUCUGUGAUACACUCAUGCAUGCUGUGCGUUAUUGUGGGUUUUAUUGCUGUGGAGCUCUGUGAUGCACUCAUGCAUGCUGUGCAUUAUUGUGAGUUUUAUUGCUGUGGAGC